rnacentral:lncRNA from 1 species
GAGCCCGGGAGCCUCACGGCCACCACAGGCACUGGAGCCUGGGUGGGAGUCCUGUCAUAUCUGACUGGGGUUUUCCAAAAGCUCAAACAGGACCGAAGCCGACUGAGGCUUGGUGAAACCGACAGAUACACCCCGCCCAGGCAUUCAGAAAGGGCGCGUGGGGCCGACGCACCCGCGUGCCUACUGUGUGUCUGGCCUCUGCGGAGUACUCAGGCUUUGGACCUCGGGGCCUCCCUGCACCCCAGGCAGGAGCAGCAUCCCUGUCCCAUUGGGAAACAGUGGCCAGGAGUCACCAAGGCAUGCCAGCUCGGAGGGCUAGAAUCUCAGCUCUUUCUCUGCAAAACGAACAGGGAGCCACAACUUCCUGACUUCGAAGGCCAGGCUGGAGCCCAAGAAGGCUUUGCAGCCCCCUGGGUGUGCUCAUUGUGUGAGCCAAGUGUUGUCUCUGGUGAUGAUGCCGACAGCCCGGCUCUCCUCGUGUUUCCGCUGCUGCGUGGAAUGUGAACCAGCUGAGCCGGACCAGCGCCGCCCCAGGGCAGGAGGCCAGGUGUGCUGUCUCUGGACGACAGGCAUGAGGAACAGCGACGCCUGAUGUCACCAGGGCCUGGGAACCACCCUGCCUGGGGGAUGCUGGCCCUCUCUGCUAAUGUGCUUGGGUCCUUAUUUCCUCUUUGAAUGUGUUUCUUGAAAAACAAACUCUUUGAGGUGAAAAAAGUUUAUGGUUUUUAGAACAAUGGUUUGAAAUAGAGCAAAUACUGGUAACAGGCUCUGCAGAUAAUUCUAUAAAGCUGUGAAAGAGCCACGAAAUAGUUUACUCUAAUCACCCUGUACAAAGCAGCCACCUUCAGGAUUCAUUUCUUCAAGUGGUGUCAAUUCAAUUAAUCAUAAAAAAAUGAUUAAAAGAAUUUCAUACAACUUUGCUUUUAAAAUAAAAUCUUGGUGAACCAGC